GUAGCUAAUUACAGAUACGGAUUUAAGUAUAUUAAUGACGUUUUUACGUAUACUCCAUCAAAUAGAGAAGAUUUGAUGAGGUUUCAAAUACGUUGGGAUGGAAUAGAAGAGCAGUCGAGAUGGAACGAAAGCGAAAACAAGUGGGUUCCAAUCCAACUACAGCCUGCUAAUGAGUGUGAACUCUACAAUUAUUGUGGCAAUUUCGGGAUCUGUACUGCAUCACCUAAUCCAAAAUGCACAUGUAUGGAAGGAUUUGAUCCAAGGAAUCCAGAGCAAUGGACAAAGGGGAAUUGGUCAGGUGGGUGUGUGAGAAAAACAGAAUUGCAGUGCCAGAGAAAUAUCAGUACAGCAGAACAAGAUGGUUUUAAAAAGUUUAGAUGCAAUAAAUUGCCAGAUUUUGCUUCUGUCUAUACUGGGGUCCUCUCGGAGGAUUGUGAGAAAAAGUGUUUAAGCAACUGUUCAUGUAACGCCUAUGCAGUAGUUGAAAAUAUUGGAUGCAUGAUAUGGAAUGGAGACUUGAUUGAUAUGCAGAAUUUUGGCAAACCUGGGAAUGCUAUGAAUCUACGUCUUGCUGCUUCUGAAUUUGAUGGCAAGAGAUUAUCUGCAGCUGUGAUAGCACUAAUUGUUGUGGCUGGGGGGGGCUUCUAGCUAUAUCUGUAUGGCUACUCUGGUGCCUAAAAAGAAAACUCAAAGUUUCAGUUUUGCCGACACCUACCUCCGUUUCAUUGAUGAGAAAGAAUGAGAUAACAGUUUCCGAUAUGAGCAAGAGUAAAGAAUAUUCAUCAGAGAUGUCUGGACCAGCUGACCUAGUCAUUGAAGGGAGCCAAGUAAAUGGUCCUGAUUUGCCAUUGUUCAAUUUUAAUUCUGUAGCAGCAGCUACAAACAAUUUUUCUGAAGAAAACAAGCUUGGCCAGGGGGGAUUUGGUCAUGUCUACAGGGGAAAGCUUCCUGGAGGAGAAGAAAUAGCUGUAAAAAGGCUUUCAAGAAUCUCUGGCCAAGGUUUAGAGGAGUUCAAGAAUGAAAUCAUACUGAUUGCUAAAUUACAACACAGAAAUCUUGUUAGAUUACUAGGCUGCUGUAUUCAGGGAGAAGAGAAGAUGCUGCUUUAUGAAUACAUGCCAAAUAAAAGCUUGGAUUUCUUUCUUUUUGACCCUGCAAAGCAGGCAUUAUUAGACUGGACAAAGAGGUUCAAUAUUAUUGAGGGGAUUGCUAGAGGUCUUCUUUAUCUUCAUCGAGAUUCAAGACUCAGAAUCAUUCAUCGAGACCUAAAGGCUAGCAACAUUUUGUUGGAUGAGGAACUAAAUCCAAAGAUUUCAGACUUUGGCAUGGCUAGAAUAUUUGG
rnacentral:misc_RNA from 1 species